UACGAAGGGGGCUAGCGUUUUUCGGAUUUACUGGGCGUAAAGCGCGUGUAGGCGGAUCGUUAAGUCGGGGGUGGAAGCCCAGAGCUCAACUCUGGAAUUGCCUUCGAUACUGGCGGUCUGGAGCAGAGAAGAGGCGAGUGGAAUUCCGAGUGUAGAGGUGAAAUUCGUAGAUAUUCGGAGGAACACCAGUGGCGAGGGCGGCUCGCUGGUCUCUUGGUGACGCUGGGACGCGAAAGCGUGGGGAGCAAACAGG
rnacentral:rRNA from 1 species